AUAAUAUUACCUCCGUCCCGAAUUAGUUGACUCAGAUUUGUCUAGAUACAGAUGUACACAUUUUAGUGUUAGAUACAUCCGUAUCUAGACAAAUCUAAGUCAACUAAUUCGGGACAGAGGGAGUAUGUC
rnacentral:pre_miRNA from 1 species